AAGGAUCAUUAUUGAAUAAGUUGGGAGGUUGUAGCUGGCUCCUCGGGGCAUGUGCACGCCUUUCAAACUCAUCUCAACCACCUGUGCACCCUUUGUAGACCCGGAAAUAGAUCUCUCAAGGCAACUUGGAUUUUGAGGGUUUUUGCUGGCUUCAAAGUCGGCUUCCCUUGCUGUUUCCAGCGUCUAUGUUUUUAUAAUACACCCCUUUAAAUGUUAUAGAAUGUCUUUGAUGGGCCUGUCGUAAAAAAGCAGUGUCCUUUAAAAUUAUACAACUUUCAACAACGGAUCUCUUGGCUCUC
rnacentral:misc_RNA from 1 species